rnacentral:rRNA from 1 species
UACGGGGGGAGCAAGCGUUGUUCGGAUUUACUGGGCGUAAAGGGCGCGUAGGCGGCCUCCGCAAGUCAGUUGUGAAAUCUCCGAGCUUAACUCGGAAAGGUCAACUGAUACUGCGGGGCUAGAGUGCGGAAGGGGCAACUGGAAUUCUUGGUGUAGCGGUGAAAUGCGCAGAUAUCAGGAGGAACACCAAUGGCGAAGGCAGCUCGCUGGAACGGUACUGACGCUGAGGCGCGAAAGCGUGGGGAGCGAACAGG